GACAAAAGCAAGUUCUACAGAGAGAGAUCACAUGGUGAGAGAGGCAGCAAGACGGAGACCAAAUUUGCUUUACAAAAUCAUAUCCUCUCAAGAACUAAUCUACCCUGGAAUAACAGCAUUAAUCCCUUCUGAGGAUGGAACUUCCGUGACCUAACAACCUGCACAAGGCUCACCUCUUACAGGCUCUCCCACUUCCACAUUGCCUCCCUGGGGAACAAGGUUCCAGCACAGGAGUCUUUAAGGAACACACUCUAACAACAUCCAAACCACAGCAAUUUGUAUAGCCAGCCUCUCAGCAUUCACUGAGUUCUUGAAGCUAAGAGUGCAAGCCAUCUAUAUGUGUUUGAAGUCCAGAUAUGCUGUUUGAAGUUGAGAUAUGCUGUCUCCAACUUUGCUGCAUCCUGGGCUGGAGGCAAAGGUAAUCCUUUAUGCAACAGAGUGCUUCAUGGCUCAAGAAUAUGGAUGCUGGUAAUUCACAUAUGCCACGGAGAAGCUGUGAAAUGUUUCCUUUAAAUGAAAAGACAUCCUGCUUUCAGAUGUCUGAUCAAAGGGCACUUAAAUAUCUGAUGGUUCAAAAGGACUAACUCUGAAGAAACUCUGACCCCAGGGAUUAUUCUACUCUGCCAUCCCUUGUUGAAAUCUCCUCAUCACUGUGUUGCUCAGGACUUUCUUUCUGACUUGUCCUGGACAAAAGAUGGUGCUGACAAAGGUGUUCAAACUUUGUCCUCAAAACAACUGUAUGCUGUUUUGCCAAAACAAACAGCCCUCCACUCUACAUGAACCUCCUGGACUUGAAUUUGUUCCUUCUCAGACCUAGAGACCCACUCUACCGCCUAACCAUAUCCAAACUCCCACUUCAGCUUCUCUGAUGGUGCCAUGUUGAAUACGGUCCACUGAGUUUCAUGGAUCCCCAUACACACACUGUUAGAAGACACCCUUCCUAGGACUCUGCUUGCCUGUGAUUCUUGCCUCAGUCUCUGAGCAUCAGACACCUUCCUACUAUGAUAGUUGCCCU
rnacentral:lncRNA from 1 species